UUAAGUUCAGCGGGUAGUCCUACUCGAUUUGAGGUCAAGUUGUCAGAAGUGUCCUAAGACAGUUAGAGAAGCACAGAGCUCCUAAUCAGCCACCCUCUUUCGAGGUGCCGGCGAAGACACUUAUCACGCCGUACUAUGUCCAACCAGGAGGUGCACUAAUGCAUUUGAGGUGAGCCACCGCAGAGCAGCAACACCCAAGU
rnacentral:misc_RNA from 1 species